rnacentral:snRNA from 1 species
AUACCUACCUGGCAGGGGAGAUACCAGGAUCAAGAAGGUGGUUUUCCCGGGGUGAGGCUUAUCCAGAUGUGCUGACCUCUUCAGUUUCCCCAAAUGUGGGAACUUGUCUAAUUUGUGGUAGUGGAGGACUGCAUCUGUGCUCUCCCUUG